CUAAUAUGAGGUCUAGCCUGCCCGCUGAAUGAUAUUUGAAGGGCCGCAGUAUUUUAACUGUGCAAAGGUAGCAUAAUCAUUAGUCUUUUAAUUGAGGGCUGGUAUGAAUGGUUGGACGAGGCAUAGUCUGUUUCAUUUACAAUGAUUAGAAUUUUAUUUUUUAGUAAGAAAGCUAAAAUGAAUUUAAAAGACGAGAAGACCCUAUAGAGCUUUAUUAGUUUAUGUUUUAUAAUUAUGAAGAUGAAUUUUAUUAUUAAGUUGUGAGCUAAUUUUGUUGGGGUGAUGUUGAGAUUAGUGUAACUCUCAAUUUAUUAAGUGUACAUUAAUAUAUGAUUAUUAUGAUCCAUUAUUGAUGAUUAAAAAUUUAAGUUACCUUAGGGAUAACAGCGUAAUUUUUUUGGAGAGUUCAUAUCGAUAAAAGAGAUUGCGACCUCGAAGUUGGAUGAAGAGAUAGAUUGGGUGUAGUAGUUCAAAUUUAAAGUCUGUUCGACUUUAAAA
rnacentral:rRNA from 1 species